CGGACAGAAUACCUAAAAAUGCUGGAUAAAUUUUCCUAAAAAAAAAAAUGUUUAAUGUGCAUGGCUUAGCAAUAGCAAAGUAAGAGAAACACUUAGAGGUAACAAAAAAUUCAGAGAGGCAAUUGAACACCAAAACUGACAGUGACCUUGGUGGUAUCAACUGACCUUUAGUGGUUGAGAGUUUUUUCUCAUCUUUUUCAUAUCAUGAUACACAUUAAAAGUAUCACUAUAAUAGCAAUUGCUAGAAUGAAUAAGAGAGUUUUGGUGAGUAUUUGUGUGUAACUUUGUAAAAACGUUCAUCAUGGAGGAGUUCCCAUUCUGGCGCAGCAGAAACAAAUCCGAACAGGAACCAUGGGGUUGCAGAUUCGAUCCCUGGCCUCAUUGGGGUGGGUUAAGGAUCUGGCAUUGCUGUGAGCUGUGGUGUAGGUCACAGACGGGACUCAGAUCUAGCGUUGCUGUGGCUCUGGCGUAGGCUGGCAGCUGUGGCUCUGAUUGGACCCCUAGCCUGGGAACCUCCACGUGCCGCAGGAGCGGCCCUAAAAAGACAAAAAAAAAAAAAAAGAAAAGAAAAAAUUCAUCAUAUUUACUUCAUUUAAGAAAAAUAAAAUAGUAACUAGUAAAUAUAUUGAAUAUUCAAUAUUAAAUAUACUGAAUAUGUAUAAACCUGCCAUUAGAAUAUUUGUAAAUAUUUUUAAAGUAACUUAACUUUCUUUCAUGAAUGUAUAUAUUAUUUUCAUUUUAUGCCAUUCUUGAGAUGGUUGCAUGUAAUUCCUAAGAAAAACUUUUUUUUUCUGUCUUUUUAGGACUGCACCCACAGCCUAUGGAAGUUCCCAAGCUAGGGGUCGAAUGGGAGCUGCAGCUCUAAAAAAAAAUCAAUGAGCUUGGUUACCAAUUAAAGUCAGAAAAAGAACAAGAGAAUAAAUCCCAAAAAAAAAAGAAAAGGAAGAAAAUAAAAAAUAAAAGGAAAAAUUAAUGCUAUACAACAGAGGAAUGUAAUAGAGAAGAACAAUAAAAACUAAUAAGUCUGACAAACUUUUGGCAAAACUGACCUAAAGAAAACACAGAAGACUGCAAACACUUCUUGAAUGAUUAUAAGAGUAUAGUAUGAAUAAAUUUACACCAAUAAAUUUGACAAGGUAGAUGAAAAGGACAUAUUCUUUAAAAAUUAUCUAUAAAAACUGACUAAAGAUAAAAAGAAAAACCCGAAUGAUUCUAGAACAAGGAACAAAAUGUAACCAGCAGUCUAAAAUCUGCCUACAAAGAAAUACCCAGCCCAGACACUUUUACAAGGUAAUUCUAUUAAACGUUCAAGGUAUCAUUUAAAGGUAUGCAAAUACUUUGGAAGGAAAAAGAGAGACUUCUUAAUACUUUCAUGAAUCUUACAUAACUCUGAUACCUAAACUAGAUAAUGACAGUAUGAUAAGUCAAAAAAAAAAAAAAAGACAAAAAGACAAAAAAAACCUUACUCAUGAAAGUGCUUUAAAAAAUAAUAUUAGAGACUGCUGAGUCACACAAUGUAUGUGAAAGUUGGCUUUGUUUUAAAAAUGCAUUAUUUCAACAUCAGAAAAUUCAGUACUGUAAUUCAUUUCAUCAACACAUACUAUAUCAGAGAAGUCAUCUGAUAGUCUCCAAAGUGCAGAAAAUUUAUUGAAUACAACUCAACAUCUAUUCACAAUCUAAAAACUUGUUAUCAAUGUAGAAACUUCCUUAACCUAAUAAAUAGUAUUUGCAAAUAUAUAUCAUAUUAAAGAGUGAAAGGUGAAAAACAUUUCCUUUAGAAACAAAAAAGACAAAAAUUGAACGUUAUUCAGGAACAUGUAUUUCAGUGAUGAAACUAUAAGGAACGCAGGGUAACAACACAAAACUCACAGAAGUGGCUACCUCUGGGUGAUUAUCAUCAGGAAGGUGGACAGCACAUACACAAAUAUUCAUCUUCUUAUCAUUUUUAAACUCUAUACACAAACACACACAGGCACGUACACACAGUGUAAAAUAUAUUAUUCGUAAUAUGUGCAGAGAAACUGAAAUAAUGAUUCAUCCAGUAAAUGUUAAACAAAUCUAGAAUGCUGGCUACUCUAAAUAACAUUAUACCUACAGUAGAAAAAAAAAAAAA
rnacentral:lncRNA from 1 species